rnacentral:rRNA from 1 species
GACGAACGCUGGCGGCGUGCCUAACACAUGCAAGUCGAGCGGGGUUGAGGCGAGAGGUAACUCGAGCUUCUACCUAGCGGCGGACGGGUGAGUAACGCGUGGGCAACCUGCCUCAAGGUUUGGGAUAACAGCCCGAAAGGGCUGCUAAUACCGGAUAUGCCUAUGGCCUCGCAUGGGGCUAUGAGCAAAGGGGAAACCCGCCUUGAGAUGGGCCCGCGUCCCAUCAGCUAGUUGGUGAGGUAACAGCUCACCAAGGCGACGACGGGUAGCCGGCCUGAGAGGGUGACCGGCCACACUGGGACUGAGACACGGCCCAGACUCCUACGGGGGGCAGCAGUGGGGGAUCUUGCACAAUGGGCGAAAGCCUGAUGCAGCGACGCCGCGUGAGCGAAGAAGGCCUCGGUUGUAAGACUCUGUCUGAGGGAGAACGAAAAAGGUACUCCGACGGAGCACGGCAACUACGUGCCAGCAGCCGCGGUAACGUCUGUAGU